rnacentral:rRNA from 1 species
UACGAAGGGGGCUAGCGUUGCUCGGAAUUACUGGRCGUAAAGGGAGCGUAGGCGNNCUGUUAAGUUAGAGGUGAAAGCCCNGGGCUCAACCUUGGAAUUGCCUUUGAUACUGGCAGUCUUGAGUACGGAAGAGGUAUGUGGAACUCCGAGUGUAGAGGUGAAAUUCGUAGAUAUUCGGAAGAACACCAGUGGCGAAGGCGACAUACUGGUCCGUUACUGACGCUGAGGCUCGAARGCGUGGGAAGCAAACAGGAUUAGAUACCCUGGUAGUCCACGCUGUAAACGAUGAGUGCUAGUUGUCGGCAUGCAUGCAUGUCGGUGACGCAGCUAACGCAUUAAGCACUCCGCCUGGGAGUACGGUCGCAAGAUUWAAACUCAAAGGAAUUGACGGGGSCCCGCACAAGCGGUGGAGCAUGUGG